GGUGCUGCCCGAUAUGCUUGUGGAAGGCUAGUUGGGGAGAGUAGCGCCUGCUAAGCGUUGCUCAUACCCAUUGCAGGUGAGAUCGUUCAUGGGCAAUGUUCACAGGCUUUGCGGCCUUGCAUCGCUCCUCUGGCGGUUUCGUGCUGGGCGAACCUCUCGAAGCAUCACACGGUCAUUGCCCACCACAGCUCGUUGCUUGGUCACCCGCUGAGUCUUGAUGUGCAGGAUGUUUUAUCCAGUUUCCAGGCUAUUGAAGUUGACGCGUGGAUGGGCAAAAUCCCGCACGGAGGGCUUGUCCGUGCGUGGGUUAUGGCCCGCGUCACGCCUGUGAAAUCUGGCUCUGACUGCCGACUUGUGGACGUGGUGUGAUCCAUUCGGCGACGAAGCUGCAAUUGGCCAGACACAUACAGCUCCCAGCCCACCUGUCAUGUGCCGACGGGUGGGUACCUGCGGGCAGGCUGCUUGCGUCGCAUGCUUAAGCAUACGCUCAGCCUGGGAUGCUGGUCUGAUUGGUGAUGUUCUGGCGACCAUCGGUCACGUCUCGAAACACGGGCCAAGGAGUAUAGCAUGUGUGCAAGUCUAAGGGUCUCACAAAACCCGAGGGCGAAGUGAAAGCAAAGGUGUGGCGGCGCAUUGCUGCGCCGUCAGCCAUGUCAAAGUGGUUGCUAGUACCGAGCUGAUCCUGCUUUCCCAUGCUGGGGACAGGCGCAAGCUCCGGGCUCACGAUUGUUUGGUUCGGCAAGCUUCUCCUUCACGGGAGUUGCGGGCUGGACGGUGAGCACCGCGGAGCACAUAUGCUAUGACCCGAAAGAUAGUGAACUAUGCCUGGCGAGGGUGAAGCCCCAGGAAACUGGGGUGGAGGCCCGUAGCCGUUGUGACGUGCAAAUCCAUGGCGUCAG
rnacentral:rRNA from 1 species